GUUAAAAUAUACGUCUACUUCCGCGGGCGUUCUUGACAACUGUCAAAAUGGACGUACGAACGAAAAGCUCUGCUUCGGGAUACCGCUCAAGAAAGUAUUGUUGUAUAUGUAGUAAUUAUAGGGGGAAAACCGUAGAGGGGCAAGUCGUCAGUCUCCACAGAUUUCCAAGCGAUGCAGAUAAACGUAGAAUAUGGCUGCAGCGAGCAAGGUUAGUGCGCAAGGACUUCACCUACACCAAGAAUUCGUACGUGUGUUCUUCACAUUUCGUGAAUGGUAGCGGCCCCUCUGCAACCCAUCCUUUGCCGUCGAUAUUUCCGAACAAGGUGUUCAAAACUUCGGCACCCUCAACCACAAAUGCCCCAGCUGUUCCCUUUUCUCAUGAGCCAGGUGUGCAGGACAAUCAGCUUCCUGAGAGUGAGGAUAACCAGGAUAGCCUUGAACAAACAGAUGACCCGUUAAAGGAUUCCCUAAAUAUGCACGACUAUCAUAAAGACUGGACAACAUGUGCUGGAGAAGUUCCAAAAAAUAAGGAAACUCAGACUAUUUUGUUAACUGUAGAUUCAUCAACACAGACUGAUGAAUCCUUUUUUAACAGCAUGGCCAUGAAAAAGUGUGUUUCCUCCUCUGCAGAAACACAGACUGAUGGAAAGCUUUUCAUUGAUAAAGGGAUUCAAGUUUCUAGACCUGUGUUCACCUUUGAAGAUGUAGAACAGGAUGACUCCAAAAUUUUAUUCUACACAGGUGUGAUGCAGUUAAGUAUGGCAUCUCAGUGUUCUAAAAUUUGGAAAAUUUGUGUUGCUUUGACAAAUCUCCUUCCCCCUUUGUGUACUGUUCCAGAAUAUGACAUUGCUUCAUAG
rnacentral:misc_RNA from 1 species